rnacentral:lncRNA from 1 species
UUCAUUGCACUCCUAUGACUUCUUCCACCUGACCUCUGUGAGUGGUGGUUUUAUUCUGAAAGGGCGUAGAGGAAGUGUGUCGGUGUAUGUGUUGUAACUUGGUGCCGUGCAGAGCAAGAGAAGAAGAGAGGGAGGCUGCGCGAGAGGAGGACACACCGGCGGACAGACGGACGACGGGACCGGAAAGAAAGAAAACAAAUGUGGAAUAAUCCGCGUGCACGCUGACGAACAUUUGGUCUCGUGCAGGAAUAUUUAAAAUAUUUUUAUUUUUAAUUUUUCUGGAUUUGGUCCCGCUGCUGCUGCUUCCUGCCGGGGACUUCACGGAGGGAAAAGCACGCGCACACGCACACAUGGAGUUCAAUCCUCGUGCCGCACGGCGCGUGCGUGCGUGCACAUGAACGUGCGUGCGUGUCCAGGUGUAUGUUUCCUGCUCGCAGCGUUUAUUUAUCGCUGUUGUUCUUAAAUUUGCUGUUUCGCCAACGGAGUUUGGCUCCGCUCCGGACACCUUGUUUUUGACCUGUAGGUGUGCGUGCUCAGCAUGUCGCAGCGUGGCUCUCACACCAGGCUCCAUUCAUAAAAUGCUUUAUUUUCAUUUAUGUUGGAGUUUGUUUGUUGUUUUUGGAGGAAAUCUAGAACAACAGUGUGUGCGUGUAAUGGGAGUGUGCGCGUGCACGCCCCGUCCUGCACACGCACGCGGCUAAUCAGUGAAGAUGGAUUUAUUUACUUGAGCACAGAUUGUUUUGGAUUCCACGUAUUUUUAUCGGAUGGCUAUCAAAUCAAAAACAUUAAAACUGAAACAUUAAAACUGUGGAAGAAGAGCAAAAAGACAUGGCGGGCUGAGUGGCGACGACGAGGCAGACGGUCCCAUCUGAGGCACGAACCAGAGGCAGCAUGGUGAGGUCAAAAGUCAAUGAAACCCUAACCACCUCCCCACCAGGGUUUCUAGCUGGUGCUUUAUUAGUUAUGAGAUUAAACACUGAGGUUUGAGUGAAGGCCAUGAAUCUAUACUUCUCCU